GCUGGGCACAGUGGCAUAUGCCUGUAAUCCCAGCAGCUCGGGAGGCUGAGACAGGAGGAUCAAGAAUUCAAAGCCAGACUGAGAAAAAGCAAGCCGCUAACGAACUCAGUAAGACCCUGUCUCUA
rnacentral:sRNA from 1 species